rnacentral:rRNA from 1 species
UCGAGGAUCUUCGGCAAUGGGCGCAAGCCUGACCGAGCGACGCCGCGUGCGCGAUGAAGGCCUUCGGGUUGUAAAGCGCUGUCGAGGGGGAGGAAAGCCCGCAAGGGCCUGACCUAUCCCUGGAGGAAGCACGGGCUAAGUUCGUGCCAGCAGCCGCGGUAAGACGAACCGUGCGAACGUUGUUCGGAUUCACUGGGCUUAAAGGGCGCGUAGGCGGCUUGCCAAGUCGGGGGUGAAAUCUUUCGGCUCAACCGGAAAACAGCUUCCGAUACUGGCGAGCUUGAGUGGGGUAGGGGCGACUGGAACUUCCGGUGGAGCGGUGAAAUGCGUAGAUAUCGGAAGGAACGCCGGUGGCGAAAGCGAGUCGCUGGACCCCUCCUGACGCUGAGGCGCGAAAGCCAGGGGAGCAAACGGGAUUAGAUACCCGCGUAGUCC